rnacentral:tRNA from 1 species
GCCUUCGUGGUAUAGUGGUCAGCACGACCGACGCGUAACCAAGAGGACCGCGGUUCGAUUCCCGGCGAAGGCU